AGUGAACGCUGGCGGUAGGCCUAACACAUGCAAGUCGAACGGCAGCACAGUAAGAGCUUGCUCUUACGGGUGGCGAGUGGCGGACGGGUGAGGAAUACAUCGGAAUCUACUUUUUCGUGGGGGAUAACGUAGGGAAACUUACGCUAAUACCGCAUACGACCUACGGGUGAAAGCAUGGGAUCUUCGGACCUUGCGCGAUUGAAUGAGCCGAUGUCGGAUUAGCUAGUUGGCGGGGUAAAGGCCCACCAAGGCGACGAUCCGUAGCUGGUCCGAGAGGAUGAUCAGCCACACUGGAACUGAGACACGGUCCAGACUCCUACGGGAGGCAGCAGUGGGGAAUAUUGGACAAUGGGCGAAAGCCUGAUCCAGCCAUACCGCGUGGGUGAAGAAGGCCUUCGGGUUGUAAAGCCCUUUUGUUGGGAAAGAAAAGCAGCAGGUUAAUACCCCGCUGUUCUGACGUUACCAAAAGAAUAAGCACCGGCUAACUUCGUG
rnacentral:rRNA from 1 species